ACCCGCUGAACUUAAGCAUAUCAAUAGGCGGAGGAAAAGAAACCAACAGGGAUUGCCUUAGUAACGGCGAGUGAAGCGGCAACAGCUCAAAUUUGAAAUCUGGCCUCUUUGGGGUCCGAGUUGUAAUUUGCAGAGGGCGCUUUGGCGUUGGCAGCGGUCCAAGUUCCUUGGAACAGGACGUCACAGAGGGUGAGAAUCCCGUACGUGGUCGCUAGCCUUCGCCGUGUAAAGCCCCUUCGACGAGUCGAGUUGUUUGGGAAUGCAGCUCUAAAUGGGAGGUAAAUUUCUUCUAAAGCUAAAUACUGGCCAGAGACCGAUAGCGCACAAGUAGAGUGAUCGAAAGAUGAAAAGCACUUUGGAAAGAGAGUCAAACAGCACGUGAAAUUGUUGAAAGGGAAGCGCUUGCAGCCAGACUUGCCUGUAGUUGCUCAUCCGGGCUUUUGCCCGGUGCACUCUUCUGCGGGCAGGCCAGCAUCAGUUUGGGCGGUUGGAUAAAGGUCUCUGUCAUGUACCUCUCUUCGGGGAGGCCUUAUAGGGGAGACGACAUGCAACCAGCCCAGACUGAGGUCCGCGCAUUUGCUAGGAUGCUGGCGUAAUGGCUGU
rnacentral:rRNA from 1 species